AGGACCCGAUCGUCGCAAGGCUCCCCGCUGCGUGAUCUGUGGUGGUCCCCACUACCCGCGACAGUGUUCACGCAGCCGGGGCAGGUGUUUCUUGUGUGGCCAGGAGGGCCACUUCCAGUCGGACUGCCCGAGAGGUUCAGCGCCAGCGCCAUCUUCGGCAUCUGCACCAGCAUCGCCAGGUCCCAGUCAGGGGACAUCUUGUGACGCAUUGGACCUUGCAAAUUGUGGGGUUCGAGUGAUUAAUUGUGUUCCGAGCUUUUCCAGACUUUCUGGUGGGUCGUUGACAGUGUUCCGACCUAUGGUUCGAGUCCCGAGAAUUGUGGUUUAAAGCGGUGUACCAAAAUUCAAAAAGUUG
rnacentral:lncRNA from 1 species